rnacentral:rRNA from 1 species
AUGAACGCUAGCGGCAGGCUUAACACAUGCAAGUCGAGGGGCAGCGCGGGAUAGCAAUAUCCUGGCGGCGACCGGCGGAAGGGUGCGUAACGCGUGAGCGACAUGCCCGUUGCCCGGGGACAACCGGUGGAAACGCCGACUAAUCCCCGAUGGGAUAUUGUGCCGCAUGGCACGAUAUUGAAAGUUACGGCGGCGACGGAUUGGCUCGCGUCCGAUUAGCUGGUUGGCGGGGUAACGGCCCACCAAGGCUGCGAUCGGUAGGGGUUCUGAGAGGAAGGCCCCCCACAAUGGGACUGAGACACGGCCCAUACUCCUACGGGAGGCAGCAGUGAGGAAUAUUGGUCAAUGGGCGGAAGCCUGAACCAGCCAUGCCGCGUGCGGGAAGGAGGCCCUAUGGGCUGUGAACCGCUUUUGCCUGGGGGCAAUAAGGGCGUCGCGCACGUCCGAUGAGAGUACCAGGCGAAUAAGCAUCGGCUAACUCCGUG